CGCGUGGGAGAGAACCCAGCCCUUGGGUCGCCGAAGGAGCAAACGCCCGUAAUCUCUCAGGCAAAAGGACCGCGC
rnacentral:ncRNA from 1 species